AAAGACACUUCCUCUGCUGGACGCAACUCACGCUUUUCUAUAUUGAUAUCUCUUCAACAAAGUAUUCCCAUCCCAGCUUGUCUUCUUCAUCAAAGUAUUCCCAUCACAACUUCUCAUCUCUUUCUUGUUCAUCAAAGAAUUCCCAUCGCAGCUUCUCAACUCUGUCUUCUUCAUCUAGGGAUUUCCAUCACAGCUGCUCUUCAAAGAGCUUCUCAACUCUAUUUUUCUUCAUCAAAGGAUUUCCAUCGCAGCUGCUCAUCAAAGAGUUAAUAUGUAUAGUUGCUGCUUAUAGCUACUCGAUCAGUGAAACAAAUCUUACAACUUCUGAACUCUGUCUUCAUCAACGGACUUCCAACGCAACUGCUCAUCAAAGAGAAUUUUCAUCGCAGGUUUCUCAGUUCUGUCUUCUUCAUCAAAGGAUUUCCAUCGCAGCUGCUCGUCAAAGAGGUUAUGGCACCUAGCAAGAAGUGGAUGGAACUUGUUGAUAAAUGUCUCGACGAAAUCUACUUAGUUGGAGUGCAAAAGUUUUUGGAUUAUGCUUUUCAAAAAGCAGGAAAAGAAUAUGAAAUACGAUGUCCAUGUGUCAAAUGUUACAAUACAACUUUAGCAACUCGUAAAAUAAUGGAGACACAUUUGAUAGUAUAUGGAAUAAUUUGCAAUUAUACUUUUUGGUAUCACCAUGGAGAACGUUUGGGUGAGCCAUUGUCAGAAUUAGAAUCUGAAUCUGAAGAUACCUUAGAAGAUGAAGAUAAUAAUUAAGUAGAAGAAUGUGAGGAUGAAGAUGAAGUAGAAGAAUUUUUGAGAGAUUUAUAUCAAUCUUAAUGGAGGAAUUACAAAUACUAAUUGUGAUGAUUUACUUGAGGAGGAACCGAAUGCCAAAGAAAAAAAAUUUUACAACCUAUUGAAGGAUAUUGAACUGCCAUUAUACAAAAAUUCAAAAGCUUCAAAUCUUUCUACUUUGAUCAAAUUGUUUCACAUCAAAAGUAUAGGUCGUUGAAAAUGUUGAAAGACGAGUUGUUGCCUGAUGGCCCAAAUUUGCAAACUCAUAUUAUGAGGUAAAAAAGAUCAUUCAAGAACUCAGGCUUUCAUACAACAAGAUUGAUGCUUGUACUAAUGUUGCAUGUUAAACUAGAAGGAGGAUAGCUUACUUAAUUCUUGCAAUGUUUGUGGUGCAUCCAGAUGGAAAAUAAAUACACAUAGCGGGUAAACAAAGAAAAGAAAAGGUAAAAAUAUAGAGUUAAAGAGCCUACGCUAUUUUCCUUUGAAGCCUAGACUUCAAGGGUUGUUUAUAUCUACAAAGACAUCUACUCUAAUGACAUGGCAUAAGGAUAAAAGAGUUGAUGAUGGAAUAAUGAGGCAUCCGAUUGAUUCAAUGGCAUGGAAAUCAUUUGAUGACCUUCAUCCUUCAUUUUUCCUGUUGUGCUUAUUCCUUACAAUUUACCACCUUGGUUGUGUAUCAAGCAAUUUUAUUUUUUUUCUAUGCUUAUUCCAGGUACAAAUGGUCCAGGAUAUGCAACUGAUACAUAUCUUCAGCUUUUAAUAGAGGAAUUGAAGGAGUUGUUGGAAGUUGAUAUUGAGACCUAUGAUGCAUCUACUAGAACAAAUUUUGAAUUGCAUGCUUCUUUAAUGUGGACAAUCAAUGACUUUCCAGCA